AUUGAACGCUGGCGGCAUGCCUUACACAUGCAAGUCGAACGGCAGCACGGGAGCAAUCCUGGUGGCGAGUGGCGAACGGGUGAGUAAUAUAUCGGAACGUGCCCAGUCGUGGGGGAUAACGUAGCGAAAGCUACGCUAAUACCGCAUACGAUCUAUGGAUGAAAGCGGGGGAUCGCAAGACCUCGCGCGAUUGGAGCGGCCGAUAACAGAUUAGCUAGUUGGUGAGGUAAAGGCUCACCAAGUCGACGAUCUGUAGCUGGUCUGAGAGGACGACCAGCCACACUGGAACUGAGACAUGGGCCAGACUCCUACGGGAGGCAGCAGUGGGGAAUUUUGGACAAUGGGCGCAAGCCUGAUCCAGCAAUGCCGCGUGCAGGAUGAAGGCCUUCGGGUUGUAAACUGCUUUUGUACGGAACGGAACGGUGAGCUCUAAUACAGUUUGCUAAUGACGGUACCGUAAGAAUAAGCACCGGCUAACUACGUGCCAGCAGCCGCCGCGG
rnacentral:rRNA from 1 species